rnacentral:snRNA from 1 species
GUGCUCACUUUGGCAGCACAUUUAAAAUUGGAACGAUAGAAGAUGACCCCUGUGCAAGGAUAACAUGCACAUUUGUGAAGUGUUCCAUAUUUUU